rnacentral:rRNA from 1 species
AUUGAACGCUGGCGGCAUGCCUUACACAUGCAAGUCGAACGGCAGCACGGGAGCAAUCCUGGUGGCGAGUGGCGAACGGGUGAGUAAUAUAUCGGAACGUGCCCAGUCGUGGGGGGAUAACGUAGCGAAAGCUACGCUAAUACCGCAUACGAUCUAUGGAUGAAAGCGGGGGAUCGCAAGACCUCGCGCGAUUGGAGCGGCCGAUAUCAGAUUAGGUAGUUGGUGGGGUAAAAGCCUACCAAGCCUUCGAUCUGUAGCUGGUCUGAGAGGACGACCAGCCACACUGGAACUGAGACACGGUCCAGACUCCUACCGGAGGCAGCAGUGGGGAAUUUUGGACAAUGGGCGCAAGCCUGAUCCAGCAAUGCCGCGUGCAGGAUGAAGGCC